rnacentral:rRNA from 1 species
CCUACGGGGGGCUGCAGUAGGGAAUAUUGCACAAUGGAGGAAACUCUGAUGCAGCGACGCCGCGUGAGUGAUGAAGGACUUCGGUUCGUAAAGCUCUGUUGCAGGGGAAAAAGAAAGUGAUGGUACUCUGCGAGAAAGGGUCGGCUAACUUCGUGCCAGCAGCCGCGGUAAGACGAGGGACCCUAGCGUUGUUCGGAAUCAUUGGGCGUAAAGCGGGUGUAGGUGGCUUUGUAAGUCAGGUGUGAAAGCCCGGGGCUUAACCCCGGAAGUGCAUUUGAUACUGCGAAGCUUGAGUGCUGGAGAGGUUACUAGAAUUCCUGGUGUAGUGGUGAAAUACGUAGAUAUCAGGAGGAAUACCGGAGGCGAAGGCGGGUAACUGGCCAGACACUGACACUCAGACCCGAAAGCGUGGGGAUCAAACAGGAUUAGAUACCCCAGUAGUC